rnacentral:rRNA from 1 species
UACGUAGGGGGCGAGCGUUGUCCGGAUUUAUUGGGCGUAAAGAGCUCGUAGGCGGUUCGGCAAGUCGACGGUGAAAUCUCCACGCUCAACGUGGAGGGGUCCGUCGAUACUGCUGUGACUCGAGUCCGGUAGGGGAGUGUGGAAUUCCCGGUGUAGCGGUGAAAUGCGCAGAUAUCAGGAAGAACACCAAUGGCGAAAGCAGCUCUCUGGGACGGUACUGACGCUGAGACGCGAAAGCGUGGGGAGCGAACAGG